UACGGAGGGUGCAAGCGUUAUCCGGAAUCACUGGGUUUAAAGGGUGCGUAGGCGGUCCGAUAAGUCAGCUGUGAAAUCGCUGGGCUCAACCCAUGCAAUUGCAGUUGAUACUGUCGGACUUGAAUAGGUUUGAGGCUAGCGGAAUGCGACAUGUAGCGGUGAAAUGCUUAGAUAUGUCGCAGAACACCGAUUGCGAAGGCAGCUAGCUGGGCCCUUAUUGACGCUGAGGCACGAAAGCGUGGGGAGCAAACAGG
rnacentral:rRNA from 1 species